rnacentral:tRNA from 1 species
AGGGUUGUGGCUCAGUGAUAGAGCACUUGCCUAGCAUGUGAGAGGGCCUGGGUUCAAUCCUCAGCACUA